rnacentral:lncRNA from 1 species
AAUGAAAAUUAAGUCAAUAAAUAUUACCUUUUGUUGAUCUGAGAUAAAGUUCCACCCAUGUUGCCCAACAGCUCCCAAGUCUUCAGCCAACAGAGUCAGGAACCACUUCCAAGUGUCCUUGCACUCAUUCGGUACCACUGCAAAGGCCACCACAUAAAAGUGGUUGUUGGCAUCUUGACCCACUGCACUUAACAGUUGUCCACCAUAAUACCCUUUUAAAAAGCAUCCGUCUAAUCCAAUUAAAGGCCUACACCCCUCUUUGAACCCCUUCUUACAGGCUUACAUGCAUAUGUACAACCGAUCAAACAGAGGGAGAGAUUCAGGCUGAGGAAUAACCUCCAUCAGUGCUGUUGAACCAGGGUUACUUCUAUGUAACUCCAUCAGGUAAUCCCG